rnacentral:rRNA from 1 species
GAUGAACGCUGGCGGCGUGCCUAAUACAUGCCAGUCGAGCGAACAGACGAGGAGCUUGCUCCUUCGACGUUAGCGGCGGACGGGUGAGUAACACGUAGGUAACCUACCUAUAAGACUGGGAUAACUUCGGGAAACCGGAGCUAAUACCGGAUAAUAUUUCGAACCGCAUGGUUCGAUAGUGAAAGAUGGCUUUGCUAUCGCUUAUAGAUGGACCUGCGCCGUAUUAGCUAGUUGGUAAGGUAACGGCUUACCAAGGCAACGAUACGUAGCCGACCUGAGAGGGUGAUCGGCCACACUGGAACUGAGACACGGUCCAGACUCCUACGGGAGGCAGCAGUAGGGAAUCUUCCGCAAUGGGCGAAAGCCUGACGGAGCAACGCCGCGUGAGUGAUGAAGGUCUUCGGAUCGUAAAACUCUGUUAUUAGGGAAGAACAAACGUGUAAGUAACUGUGCACGUCUUGACGGUACCUAAUCAGAAAGCCACGGCUAACUACGUG